rnacentral:rRNA from 1 species
AUUGAACGCUGGCGGCAGGCCUAACACAUGCAAGUCGAACGGUAACAGGAAGCAGCUUGCUGCUUCGCUGACGAGUGGCGGACGGGUGAGUAAUGUCUGGGAAGCUGCCUGAUGGAGGGGGAUAACUACUGGAAACGGUAGCUAAUACCGCAUAAUGUCGCAAGACCAAAGAGGGGGACCUUCGGGCCUCUUGCCAUCGGAUGUGCCCAGAUGGGAUUAGCUUGUUGGUGGGGUAACGGCUCACCAAGGCGACGAUCCCUAGCUGGUCUGAGAGGAUGACCCGCCACACUGUAACUUAGACACGGUCCCGACUCCUACGGGAGGCAGCCGUGGGGAAUAUUGCACGAUGAGCGCGAGCCUGAUGCAGCCAUGCCGCGUGUAUGAAGAAGGCCUUCGGGUUGUAAAGUACUUUCAGCGGGGAGGAAGGGAGUAAAGUUAAUACCUUUGCUCAUUGACGUUACCCGCAGAAGAAGCACCGGCUAACUCCGUG